rnacentral:rRNA from 1 species
ACCUGGGCUACACACGUGCUACAAUGGCCUAUACAAAGGGUAGCGAAGCUGUGAGGUGGAGCCAAUACCCAAAAAAGUAGGUCUCAGUUCGGAUUGUAGGCUGCAACUCGCCUACAUGAAGUCGGAAUCGCUAGUAAUCGCGGAUCAGCAUGCCGCGUCAUCGUCCGGCCUU